UAUUGUUUUUUUUGUCCUCUUCAGAAAAUCAUAGAAACAGGAAAUAAGAGUAUUUUGCAUUUUUAUAUUAAAAAUGCGCCAUUUUUAUUUCUUAAAUUAGGAUAUUAUUAUGUUACAAAAAAUAAUUAGGAUAUGUUCAAUAUAUUUUUUUUGAGGAUAUAUUCAUACCUUUUGUAUAUCUCUUACCCUCGUUAGCGGUGGUAUGAAUGAAUAUUACGCUCCUAUAACAAAACACUUGCGACUUAUGAAAGGGUAUCACAGCUGACAAAAAAAAAAUGAUAGGUAUCAAUCACAUUGUGAUUUUAUUAAUGUUUUUCUUGCUAGUUAUAAAAGAUACACUUCGCAUGUGUUUAUUUGGUCUUUUGAGCUGGUUAAAGUCAAUUUGUCCACCACUUCCCUUUAUUCAAUUAUUGAAACUAUUGUCUUAACAAAAUAAUAAUGCCUUCACGAGAUUCAUCGUUGGAAUCGGAUUCUCUUAAUCUUGCCAAUUAUCAUCAAAAGCCUCAAAGUGGACAUAAACACAACAAGAAAUACUCAUCAUUAAUCACUUAAUUCGGUUGAAAUAAAAAUUGGGGUUGUUUCAAAGAGUAUCAACUUAACUCUAUAGUCUACACGCAACUUAACUCUAUAGUCUACACGCAGUGACUUCAUUUAUAAGCAAAGAAUUCACAUUUGUUUAAAUAAAUAUGCAUUACAAUGCUUUUUUUUUUCUUUUGUAUCAAUAUAUACAGACUAUUUUUUUUGUAUCAAUAUAUACAGACUCACAGUUAAGAUUCCGCAAACUAAACUGGUAAUUAUGCAUCUAUAUGAACGACGAGACAAUUGUUUCCUGGCACUUUGCGCGACUAUCCGUCUUAGUACUCUCCGUUCGUGGUAUAUGAAUGAUCUCAGAGUGGUUAAAACUUCAUUUUAGGAUUUUGAUGUCUUCCAUAUAAGUUGCAAAGGCAUGUCAUUCAUCUGGUGCUGAAACUAUCUUCACUAAUUUAGAGCAAUUCGUUGCAAAUGUGACAUGAUACUCACGUAAGUUCCUCAUACAUUUCAUUGUCCAUAUGAACUUCUAUUUCUGAGUGUAAGGUGAGAGAGUUUGUCUUUGCACCCAUUAGUCCAUCGAAGCCUUAUAAUGUAAUAUACCAACCAUGUUCCGAGAAAUUAUCUUUAUCUUUCUAUGAUCCAUCUGUAAAAACCAACUACCUGGAGUUGAAGGUAAACUUGAUUUCCAUCUUCCUAGAUUGGGUAAUCCUUUUUGUGAGUGAUGCAUGUGCCUCGACCCAAAGUAACGAUUUACUCUCUGCCAAAUUUGGAGUAUCUUUGGGGCCUAAAUCUAUAUUACUGAAAACCUUGUUGUUUUGUUCUCUCCAUAAAUACCAUAAAAUCCAUGCAAAUUGAUGGUCUUCCAGGUGCGAGGUAGGCCUUAAAUACAUGUAAUCCAUAUUUUCGAAUAACGACGAAGAAGGGAAAGUAUAUGGGUUCGAUGGGAUCUUGGAGAAAGUCCAAACUUGAACUGUCGGGGAACAUUAAAAAAACAUGUGGUUGAUUGAUUCUUCAUUAGCUUCACAUCUUCCACACAGAGUAUCACCUUGUAUACUUCUUGCACUCAAACUUUUCUUAACCGAUAUACAACCCGACACUAAUUGCCAUAAAAAAAAAUAUUUUCGUUGGGCAUUGAAUUUUCUAGGAGUAAGUCUUUAAAGGAUUGAAUGCCAGUCCAUAUACCGACAACAUUUUUUCUCUGUCUGGAUUUACUAUUUCCACUUGAUAGCCAUGUUUCACCGUAUAUUUUCCAUUGUUAGUGAAAUGCCAACCAUCGCGAUCAACCAUCUGAAAUUUGACUCAACGGUAUAUUUUAUAUGACCUUCACAUCCCCCGAAUCCACCAAAGACUGAAUUACCUGAGAAUUCGAUGUCCGUGACGUUGUAUUGAUGAGAAAAUCGACUGUGAGAUUUGAAUAAAGGUUAUGUUAAUUUCUGUUUGCUGGUCUCGGGCGAGUGGUUGAGAGCCAAGGAUCAGUCCAUAUUGAAAUAGAAAAUCUUGUUCUCACCAUUUUGAUUAGUCUUUUGCUAACCAGAGAUUUAGUAGAUACUAUACUACACCAUCCAUAUACGAUGAGUAUGACCAAAUAGGUUCUAGGGGUGACCAAAUAGGUUCUAGGGGUGAUGCAUUCCUGAAGUACUGUUCUUUGAAAACUCGAGAAAAUAAGGUUUUAGGCUUCUCGAUCAAGCGCCAAAAUUGUUCCCCUAAUAUAGCCGUAUUUAAGUCCGUAAGAUCUCUAAACCCAAGCUUUCCAUCCUAUUUAUUGUGGCAUAGUUCAUCCUAUGAUUUCCAAUGCAUGCCUCUUACAUUUUCCCCCAAACUCCAUUAAAAUUAUGCCACUGUCUUCGAUAAUCGAAAUCAAGACAUUACACGAUUUGGUAAAGCGGUGGUCACUAAUUUAAUGACCACCUCUUUUUUUCCUUUUGAUAAAAAUUGAACGUCCAUCCAUUGACUAUAUUGUUUAAACGUCCUGAAUAAAACUAUAAAUUUUUAGUCUUUGAUCCUCCUAAGUUCUCUGGAAAAUCCAAGUAUGAUCCCAUCUUACUUAUAUUCUGGAUUUUUAAACUAUUCUAAAGCUACAGCCGAAUAGAUUUUUCAAUCUUAUAUCCAAAUUGAAUAAUAUUUUUUUUGAAAUUUUAUCAGUUUUUAUUUUAUUUUAUUUUAAAGAGCAUCAACUUAACUCUACAGUCUACAGAGUGGCUUCGUUUAGAAGCAAAGAGUUCACAUUUACCCAAAUAAACGUGUGCAUCAUUGCUUUUUUUUUCCUUUUAAGUUUUAACAAUCUCAACGCAUUCAAAUGUUAAUUCGUUUUAAUCCAAAGUAUCAAUACAAUACUAAAAGGAGAAUAAGGGCUCCUCUCAUGCUUCCACGUCACCUUUUUUAUUCCACGUCUGAUGGGCUAGCUUAUUUUUUCGUUAUGCUUGGCCCGUAAGCCCGUAGCUUUAGAGAAACGAGAGAGACGCAUCGAUCCAUCCGUAACCCUUAUCUUCUUCUCUCUCGCGCAAGACUGCAAUCUCCCUCUGAGCCCUUUCAUCUUCUUCCGUUGUCUCUCUCAACUUUGUCUGCAAACACAAUUUUUUUCUUUCAACUCCUCACCUUCAUUAACGCUCAACGAGGUUCAACACAUCCUUCUAAAUUCCCUUGAUUAUUGUGAUUGUCAUUCGACACGGAGGAACCGACCUCCUACGCCUUCGCUUCAUCUCCAUGUUUAAGGUAAGGACAACCACAUCACCGUGCUCUACUUUGACACAGAUGUACCGAUCCCCUCCGGCUCAUGAUGAAUCCCGUGCUCAACCAUCUUUUCUAUAGAUUUCUUCAAAUCCAAGUACAUAUCUUCUGGUUCUUUGGUAUAUAUUUUAAUUUUCUUGAGUCUUUGUGAUGAUUUAAUUGAUUUUCCAUGAAAUCAUUUGUGGUUAAAGAGGAGGAUGAGACGCUGCGUGGAGGUGGCUAAGGGUCGUUGGCAUUUUUACCUUUGUUAACGGUGGUGGAAGCUCCAGAAGAUGAUGUUAUAGGGGUUUGUUGAUAUGAUGAGAAGUAGCUCUUUAUCUAGAGCCUUCAAUCUGUUUUUUUUUUCCAAUCAGUAGGAAGAAAGGAGGCUGCAAAGCUUUAGAAAAGUACUUUCAAAUAAUUGUAAUGACAGAGGCAAUGUACAGGAGUCUAACUUUAUUUGCAUAGAGUAAAUUUUAUUAAAAUUGAUCUGAUUGGAGAAUGGAUUUGGUCGUGAUGGUGAGAAUGUUUGGAUUUGAAUUUGAAUUUGCAUUCAGCUUCCUGAGUGUAUAAUUGAACAUUAGGAGUUUUUUUCGUAUUGGUUUUAUUGAUAGUAUGAUCUUGCUGAUGAUUAUGGUUUGUUGUUCUCUCCACAGACAGCUGUUAGUGCUUUAUAUUCUCAGCUCAAAGAGCUCCAGAAGAAGGAUGCAGACAUGAAGGAGCGUGACAAAAUGUUGUACUCAAAGGUACUUCCUUUUCUUUGCAGGAAAAUAGAUCAUGUAUCUUUUAGAUCCCCUUUUUGGUUUAUAGCUAUCCCCCUUCCAAAUAUAUGAAGCAGCUUAUAUCACAAAUGCAGGGGGACAUUGAUUCUACGAGUAAGUUAAUUGGUUAUUGUAUGUGUGUUCAUGCAUUCAUAUACUUAAGCUAUCUGAACACUGUAUAUUUAUAUAGGUUGGUUGCUAGAGACACUGAUCUUCCAUUGGCAGCAACACUGCUGAAAGCAUAUGCAAAGGUUGAGCCUCUGACAAUAGCUGAGCUCAAUUAUUUAUUAUCACUGCUCCAUCCCAGGUAAAAUAACUAGCUGUCUUAAUUUGUAGAUGUUAAUGGUAUGGCUCUGUUUGUGAUUCUGAUAUCCAACAUGUAGGACAUUGACUUCAUAUGUACCAGGAGAGUUGCUCGCGUUGACAUGGACAAAGGGUGGUGUUAUGCUGCAUGCUCCAAAUGCAGUAAAACUGCAGCACACUGUCUCCUCUAUUGCGUUUGUGCGAUGCGACAAUGCUCAUGCUGUCGGGACUUUCCGCUAUCGCGUGGAGACGGCCAUUGCUGAUGGUACUGCUGAAGGUGCAUUCUUUUGUUUUGAUGGUGUAGUGACGAAAUUACAUAGCCUCAGAGCAAGUGAAGCUGGUCAAAUGCUGGCUGAAGGAGUAAACCCUGAGGACUUUAAGAUGCCUCCAUUUUAUUAAAAUUGAUCUGAUUGGAGAAUGGAUUUGGUCGUGAUGGUGAGAAUGUUUGGAUUUGAAUUUGAAUUUGCAUUCAGCAUCCUGGGUGUAUAAUUGAACAUUAGGAGUUUUUUUCGUAUUGGUUUUAUUGAUAGUAUGAUCUUGCUGAUGAUUAUGGUUUGUUGUUCUCUCCACAGACAGCUGUUAGUGCUUUAUAUUCUCAGCUCAAAGAGCUCCAGAAGAAGGAUGCAGACAUGAAGGAGCGUGACAAAAUGCUGUACUCAAAGGUACUUCCUUUUCUUUGCAGGAAAACAGAUCAUGUAUCUUUUAGAUCCCCUUUUUGGUUUUAUAGCUAUCCCCCUUCCAAAUAUAUGAAGCAGUUUAUAUCACAAAUGCAGGGGGACACUGAUUCUAUGAGUAAGUUAAUUAGUUAUUGUAUGUGUGUUCAUGCAUUCAUAUACUUAAGCUAUCUGAACACUGUAUAUUUAUAUAUGUUGGUCGCUAGAGACACUGAUCUUCCAUUGGCAGCAACACUGCUGAAAGCAUAUGCAAAGGUUGAGCCUCUGACAAUAGCUGAGCUUAAUUAUUUAUUAUCACUGCUCCAUCCUAGGUAAAAUAACUAGCUGUCUUAAUUUGUAGAUGUUAAUGGUAUGGCUCUGUUUGUGAUUCUGAUAUCCAACAUGUAGGACAUUGACUUCAUAUGUACCGGGAGAGUUGCUCGUGUUGACAUGGACAAAGGGUGGUGUUAUGCUGCAUGCUCCAAAUGCAGUAAAAUUGCAGCACACUGUCUCCUCUAUUGCGUUUGUGCGAUGCGACAAUGCUCAUGCUGUCGGGACUUUCCGGUACGCCUACAGUUUAUAAAUAUUUCUCUCCGUACGUAUACUCAUGCGUGUCAAUACUUUGUCUUUGCCUUUGUUAUGCUUUUUCCUUAGCUAUCGCGUGGAGACGACCAUUGCUGAUGGUACUGCUGAAGGUGCAUCCUUUUGUUUUAAUGGUGUAGUGACGAAAUUACAU